UGCCCCAGUAACGGCGAGUGAAGCGGCAACAGCUCAAAUUUGAAAUCUGGCCUUCGGGUCCGAGUUGUAAUUUGGAGAGGAUGCUUUUGGCGCGGCGCCGUCCGAGUUCCUUGGAACAGGACGCCAUAGAGGGUGAGAGCCCCGUACGGGCGGCCGCCUAGCCUUUGUAAAGCUCCUUCGACGAGUCGAGUAGUUUGGGAAUGCUGCUCAAAAUGGGAGGUAAAUUUCUUCUAAAGCUAAAUACCGGCCAGAGACCGAUAGCGCACAAGUAGAGUGAUCGAAAGAUGAAAAGCACUUUGAAAAGAGGGUUAAAAAGUACGUGAAAUUGUUGAAAGGGAAGCGCCUGUGACCAGACUUGCGACCCGUGGAUCAUCCGGUGUUCUUCACCGGUGCACUCCGCGGGCUGCAGGCCAGCAUCGGUUUUCCUAGGGGGUUAAAGGUCGCAGGAACGUAGCUCUUUCGGGAGUGUUAUAGCCUGUGGCGUCAUGCCUCUGGGGAGACCGAGGACCGCGCUUCGGCAAGGAUGCUGGCGUAAUGGUCACCGGCGACCCGUCUUGAAACACGGACCAAGGAGUCAAGCAUUGGGGCGAGUGUCUGGGUGCCAAACCCGCACGCGAAAUGAAAGUAAACGCAGGUGAGAGCUUCGGCGCAUCACCGACCGAUCCUGAUGUCUUCGGAUGGAUUUGAGUAAGAGCCUUACCGCUUGGACCCGAAAGAUGGUGAACUAUGCCUGUAUAGGGUGAAGCCAGAGGAAACUCUGGUGGAGGCUCGCAGCGGUUCUGACGUGCAAAUCGAUCGUCAAAUAUGGGCAUGGGGGCGAAAG
rnacentral:rRNA from 1 species